GUAUUCACUUCAGCAGCACACAUGCUAAAACUGGAAAAACAUAUAGAAGAUUAACAUGGCUCCUGUGCAAGGGAUAACAUGAAAAUUUGUGAAGGGUUCCAUAUAUAA